rnacentral:rRNA from 1 species
AACGAACGCUGGCGGCAGGCUUAACACAUGCAAGUCGAACGCCCCGCAAGGGGAGUGGCAGACGGGUGAGUAACGCGUGGGAACAUACCCUUUCCUGCGGAAUAGCUCUGGGAAACUGGAAUUAAUACCGCAUACGCCCUACGGGGGAAAGAUUUAUCGGGGAAGGAUUGGCCCGCGUUGGAUUAGCUAGUUGGUGGGGUAAAGGCCUACCAAGGCGACGAUCCAUAGCUGGUCUGAGAGGAUGAUCAGCCACAUUGGGACUGAGACACGGCCCAAACUCCUACGGGAGGCAGCAGUGGGGAAUAUUGGACAAUGGGCGCAAGCCUGAUCCAGCCAUGCCGCGUGAGUGAUGAAGGUCUUAGGAUUGUAAAAUCCUUUCACCGGUGAAGAUAAUGACUGUAGCCGGAGAAGAAGCCCCGGCUAACUCCGUGCCAGCCGCCGCCGUAAUAC